rnacentral:lncRNA from 10 species
AGUAGAGAGAUCCUAUGAACACUUUAACCAGUUUUUGCAUUGGUAACAUCUUUUACAACUAUAGUACACGGUCACAAUUAGUAUAUUGGCAUUGAUAUGGUCAAAAUACGGAACAUUCACAUCCGCACAAGGUUUCCUUAUGCUGCCCUUACGGCCACACUUCCAACCCCUCCAACCCCCACUCUAUCUCCAGUCCAGCCACCAUUCUAGUAGGUUAUUAUGGCAUUGCUGUUUUAAUUUGCAAUCCUAGAAGAAAAAUGAUAUCUUCUUUGAUGAUGUAUCUGUUUAGACAUUUUGCCCAUUUUUAAAUUGGAUUGUUUGUUUCUCAUUGUUGAGUUUGGAGGUCUUUGUAUGUUUUUGAUGCCAGGCCUUUAUCACCUAUGUGUUUUGCAAAGAUUUUCUUGCAGUCUGUGGCUUGUCUUUUCAAUCUCUUACUACUGUCUUUUGCAGAACAAAAAUUUUUUAAAUUUUAAUGAAGCCUAACAUCAAUUUUUCCUUUCAUGGAUAGUGUUUCUGGUGUUAUAUCUAAAAAGUUAUCACCAAACACAUUGUCGCCGAGAUUUGCUCCUAUGUCACCUUGCAGAGGUUUUUGUGGUUUUCAUUUUUAUAUUUAGGUCUAUUGUGUAUUUGAGCUCAUUUUUAUGAGACAUAUAAGAUAUAUAUAUAUAUUCAUUUUGCUGUACAUAGAUAAGCAUUUUUACAGUUUAGAAUCUUGUUUAGAAUCAGUUUGUCAAUAUCUAUAGUGUAACUUGCUGGAAUUUGGACUGAAAUGGCAUUGAAUCCAUUAAUUAUGCCUGAAAGAAUCAACACCAUAAUCAUAAUUAGUGUUCCAAUCUAUGGAUCCAGCAUAUUUCUCCAGUUGCUUUGGUCUAGUCUCUUUUUACUCUGCUGCCUGGCUGCUGUGGUAUCUCUCAAUGAGGGAAGGCCAUAGGGGAAGGGGUGGCUGGGGAGGAGGGGAGGUUCAGAUCUAGCAGGAAAAGAGAGUACUUCCUAUGGUUGCUUGUUGGUAAUAGGUUCUGAUUUUCCUUGAUGGUGAUACAAUACUGCUUGUUGUCAGAUGACUUUCGUUGGGUAAGAGGAAAGAAUAAGGCAAUCUGUACUGCCUGCUCUUCCUAGGCUGGGAACUGGGAAAUGCCAGACCUAGUCUUCCCCUUCUAUUAGUGGAGACACAUACAACAUCCUAGCACUGUGUUCUUUCUUCAGUCUUGGUAUUCCAAACCACUUUGCCUUUCCCUUACCACCUUGCAGAGUUCUUUUGGUUACUUCUUGCAUUAUUCACAGGUGAAUGCAUUGGCCAGAAUAUCUGAGACAUCUACAAUUAAGAUCUGUGCAUUCAGUUGUGUAUAAAAUUUACCUAAGCAGUUUACAAAUAUUAAACAUUAGUUGAUAAUAUGCAUGCUUAAAUAUUUGGAAGAAAGUAUAUGGGUAUCAACAACUUAAUUUGAAAUACACAAUAAGGUAUAUUGACUGAUCAUUACAGAAAUGGAAAGGUGGAAAGAUGUAUAAUAUGUAUAAAAAUUUAAUUGUCAAAUCUAAAAAGUGAGUGUUUAAUUAUCAGCACAAAAUUCUCAAAAUGUCUUCAAACUUCUUCAUGCUUGUUAAAUUUUAAUAAUAAAAUACUGAAAGAAUGGCAGAAUGCUUGCUUCCCUUUGAUAUGUACUAAAAAUGUCUAAUGUCUUUAUUUGGGAUAUUCAGCUCUUUGUUCUAAGGAUCUAAUUUACCCUGUGCAUCUCUUUCAUGAUGGAUAACUACUAGUUUUUUUAGGGCGGAGAAAAUCAUGUAUGUUAAGUAUGACAUCUGCUUAAUGAGUAACAUCUGCACCAAUAAGUAUGACGCACUGUACAUGAUAUGCUCUAUCUUGUAGUAUUAAACUUUUUUUCUGAUUACAUCUUCCCAGAUGUUUGUAGUUUAACUGUAUCUUACUCAGAGGGGUACACUUUUAACUAGCAUUUUCUGAAUACAAACCUCAAGGUAUUCAUAUUAUACAACCAAUUUUAGCACAAGGGAUGACUGCUGGGAUAAAUUAGGGACAAUAGAGAGGUUAUUACAUCAUAUCAUGGAACAAAACCCUAGCAAGCAUGCAAACUCUGUACUUGGGUUAACAUUGCAGCAGAUUACACAGCUGUACUCAAAAUUGAAACUUUUAACAUGUAUUUAUAUCGAUAAUUAUAACUAAUGCAAACAGAGAGGUAAAGUAAUUGAAACAAACAAACAAAAGAAACACAGUACUACCUCUGGCAAGACAUCACAAAAUAGUUUACAGUUUAUUCAAUGAAAUUUAUUCAAGUUGUUAUAACUCAGUGGCAAUACUAUUUUAGAAAAUACAUUUUUAUAUCUUCUCUUUUCUUUGGUUAAAAAUAGCUUUCACUGACAAAUAGAAAUUUUGGGGUUUGUUUUCUUCCUAAGUCAAGUUCUGCAUUAUGAAAUAUUCUAUUAAAUAUUGAUGGGUAUUAAGAAACAGGUACUACUUUUACAAUAUUUAAAAUAUUGGGAUUAUAUUUCCAUGAGUUUUGGUAACUUUUCAACAGCUAGGAGUCUUGGCACCAGAAAAAUAAUUAGCAUCACCCAGAUGUAGCUCUAUCAACUAUUAGACUAUUCUGUAGCAAUAUUUUUUUCUAAAAAUUUUGAGCAGAUAAUUGGAAAUUAAAAUCAGGCAUUAAGAGAAUAACAGUUUUUAUUUCAAAGCUAUUUGCUACCCUUCUGCCUUCUACCCUCUGCAUUUUACAUACUUAUAAAUCUGAAAUGAAAGCAUUUUCUUUGGUUAAAACCAUAUUCUCUUUUAAAAGCAACAUUUUGGAGUUUUAUGAGAGUAAUUAAAAUUGAGAAGCUCGAUGAUAUCCAAACCUGAACUGUUUUGAAAAAUAUAAAUGAUGUACUUAAUAUGUGUAAUUGCUAAUUUAUAUUUCUUGUUCUAAAACUGGUUAUUAAACAAUCAUGCAGAAACAAAAUAUAAUUGACGUCUUUUAGGAUGAGUUAUUUUUUCAAACAAUUUAAAAGUAUGGUUAUAGUUAUAGACCAACAUGUAAGCAAUUAUGAGAUUUAUGAAUCUACUGACAAUUCUCUAGCUUCAACUCAUUUAUAUGUUGAUGAAGCUUACUAAUGUUUUGGAACAAUCAAACUGAUAGUUAUAUUACUUAAAGGAAACAACUUAUUACUAAACAGAUUUUAUACUAUCAUUAAUUCUUAAUCACUUGAAAUGACAACUGAAUAUUUUUAGUCCCUAAAAAUAUAACCAAAGCUAUUAUGUUAUUUUAGAUAGGAUACAGAAGUAAUCUAAGGAUUCAUUUCCGAAAUACUGCCAUCUUGUGGUAUUCUUCACAGAACAUCUAACAGUCAUUUAUGAUACGGACUUUGGGUAAAAACAAGAAGGGUACUCUAAUGACAUAAAUAGACCCAAAUGAAUACCGUGGAAACCUAGAGAGUGAAAAUAAUCUUUAUCUUAAGAACUAUGAAAGAUCCCCUUAGUAUUCAUCUGGAUGAGGAGUUCCAAUACAAUAUUUUAUAAGCAAAAAGAGAUAAUUUAUCUUAUUUGUCUAUACAUUUCUUAAUAGAAAAUAAUUCAAGGAGAAAGUGAAUCAAUACUAAUUUUCUCUCUGGAGAGAAAAUACUGUUUUGUCUCAAUCCAAUUCAUUUCAAUACAACUACUCACUGAGCAUUUUUAAUAGAAGGUUUACACAUUAUUUGGCAACAAACACAGGGCUGUGACUACUCUUUGAUUUCCUUUUGGGUCUUUAUGACCCAGGUCUCAUUUGUGUUAUGACUUGUAUUAUAAAGUUCCAGGGGUUGUGCCUUAUUUUUACACCGUUGAGUUGUUUGGCGCUCAGGGUCAUCUGAAUUAUCCUCACUCUCUUCAGCGACAGAAUACAGACCU